rnacentral:tRNA from 1 species
UGGCUCAGUUGGUAGAGCAUGGGUGUUUGCAACGCCAGGGUUGUGGGUUCGAUUCCCAC